rnacentral:tRNA from 1 species
GUCCCAGUACCUCAGGGGAUAGAGGGUCCGCCUCCUAAGCGGAACGCCGUAGGUUCGAUUCCUAUCUGGGACG